CCUACGGGGGGCUGCAGUGGGGAAUUUUGGACAAUGGGGGCAACCCUGAUCCAGCCAUGCCGCGUGAGUGAAGAAGGCCUUCGGGUUGUAAAGCUCUUUCGGCCGGGAAGAAAUCGCUCAAGCUAAUACCUUGGGUGGAUGACGGUACCGGAUGAAGAAGCACCGGCUAACUACGUGCCAGCAGCCGCGGUAAUACGUAGGGUGCGAGCGUUAAUCGGAAUUACUGGGCGUAAAGCCUUAACACAGGUCGGCAAUCCCCGGGCUUAACCUGGGAACUGCGUUUGGGACUGUGGUGCUCGAGUGAGGCAGAGGGGGGUGGAAUUCCACGUGUAGCAGUGAAAUGCGUAGAGAUGUGGAGGAACACCGAUGGCGAAGGCAGCCCCCUGGGUCGACACUGACGCUCAUGCACGAAAGCGUGGGGAGCAAACAGGAUUAGAUACCCCUGUAGUC
rnacentral:rRNA from 1 species